rnacentral:rRNA from 1 species
CACGUAGGCGGAUAUUUAAGUCAGGGGUGAAAUCCCAGAGCUCAACUCUGGAACUGCCUUUGAUACUGGGUAUCUUGAGUAUGGAAGAGGUAAGUGGAAUUCCGAGUGUAGAGGUGAAAUUCGUAGAUAUUCGGAGGAACGCCAGUGGCGAAGGCGGCUUACUGGUCCAUUACUGACGCUGAGGUGCGAAAGCGUGGGGAGCAAACA